AGUGAACGCUGGCGGUAGGCCUAACACAUGCAAGUCGAACGGCAGCACAGUAAGAGCUUGCUCUUACGGGUGGCGAGUGGCGGACGGGUGAGGAAUACAUCGGAAUCUACUUUUUCGUGGGGGAUAACGUAGGGAAACUUACGCUAAUACCGCGUACGACCUACGGGUGAAAGCAGGGGAUCUUCGGACCUUGCGCGAUUGAAUGAGCCGAUGUCGGAUUAGCUAGUUGGCGGGGUAAAGGCCCACCAAGGCGACGAUCCGUAGCUGGUCUGAGAGGAUGAUCAGCCACACUGGAACUGAGACACGGUCCAGACUCCUACGGGAGGCAGCAGUGGGGAAUAUUGGACAAUGGGCGCAAGCCUGAUCCAGCCAUACCGCGUGGGUGAAGAAGGCCUUAGGGUUGUAAAGCCCUUUUGUUGGGAAAGAAAAGCAGCAGGUUAAUACCCCGCUGUUCUGACGGUACCCAAAGAAUAAGCACCGGCUAACUUCGUG
rnacentral:rRNA from 1 species